AGAGGGUUAGUUUCAGACACACUCUCAUAUUUGCUUCUAGGGAACCCAUUGUAUUUGCAUAGUUUCAGGUUCUCCCUAGGAAAUUGAUACUUGAUUGAGCUCCUCAGCUGCUCUCAGAAGACCUCAGGAUUCUGUUUAGACCUUUACACUCCACCUGAAUCUUAUGACACCAAUAAACUCGUUAUCAGCUCAUGAAAUAAUGGCAAACAGAGUUUCUGGGCAGAAGGACAGGAGACUACACAUGGAAUGGUUGCCUUCACACUGGUCUUUAUGCACGGAUGGAACAGAUCUGUGGAAACGUAUCU